rnacentral:rRNA from 1 species
GAUGAACGCUGACAGAAUGCUUAACACAUGCAGGUCCACUUGAACUUCGGUUUGGGUGGCGGACGGGUGAGUAACGCGUAAAGAACUUGCCUCACAGUUAGGGACAACAUUUGGAAACGAAUGCUAAUACCUGAUAUUAUGAUUUUAGGGCAUCCUAGAAUUAUGAAAGCUAUAUGCGCUGUGAGAGAGCUUUGCGUCCCAUUAGCUAGUUGGAGAGGUAACGGCUCACCAAGGCGAUGAUGGGUAGCCGGCCUGAGAGGGUGAACGGCCACAAGGGGACUGAGACACGGCCCUUACUCCUACGGGAGGCAGCAGUGGGGAAUAUUGGACAAUGGACCAAGAGUCUGAUCCAGCAAUUCUGUGUGCACGAUGAAGUUUUUCGGAAUGUAAAGUGCUUUCAGUUGGGAAGAAAAAAAUGACGAUACCAACAGAAGAAGUGACGGCUAAAUACGUG